rnacentral:rRNA from 1 species
UACGAAGGGGGGCUAGCGUUGCUCGGAAUUACUGGGCGUAAAGAGCUCGUAGGCGGCUUGUCACGUCGGAUGUGAAAGCCCGAGGCUUAACCUCGGGUCUGCAUUCGAUACGGGCUAGCUAGAGUGUGGUAGGGGAGAUCGGAAUUCCUGGUGUAGCGGUGAAAUGCGCAGAUAUCAGGAGGAACACCGGCGGCGAAGGCGGAUCUCUGGGCCAUUACUGACGCUGAGGAGCGAAAGCGUGGGGAGCGAACAGG